rnacentral:rRNA from 1 species
UACGUAGGGGGCGAGCGUUGUCCGGAUUUAUUGGGCGUAAAGAGCGUGUAGGCGGCCAGGUAGGUCUGCUGUGAAAACUCGAGGCUCAACCUCGAGACGUCGGCGGAAACCAUCUGGCUAGAGUCCGGAAGAGGAGAGUGGAAUUCCUGGUGUAGCGGUGAAAUGCGCAGAUAUCAGGAAGAACACCAAUGGCGAAAGCAGCUCUCUGGGACGGUACUGACGCUGAGACGCGAAAGCGUGGGGGAGCGAACAGG